GGCGGCCAAUCGGAGUGCCCGAGAGGUAGUGGGCGGAAGGCGCCGAGUGACUGACGAUUCUUAGAAGCAAUGGGCUACACGCUGCCGGCGCUGGGCGAGCAAAUCGUGGCGGUCCGGGAACGCAGGCCGCCUAAUGAGAUCACCCAUCCUCAGCUAUUUCAUGAUGGUCCGAGCUUCCCCCAGCCACGUACAGCCCCUGUGAUGCCUGCUGCCUGCGCGGGACCUUAUUGAACAUUAGACCUGACGCCUUUGCGCGCUGAACUACAUUCUCAGCGCCCCCCCACCACCACUUUUUAAAUUGAGACAGCUUGUUAGGUUGUCCAGCCUGGACUCGAACUUUCCAUCUUCCUGCUUCAGCCUCCCAGAGUGCCGGCAUUACAGCCGUGUGACAUCUUUGCUGUCCCACGAUGCGGACUUCAAGCCCACCCCAACCCCUUCAUCCCAGUUCCCUGGUCUCCAAAACCUCCGUCCUGGCUCAGGGUCGAUCCCUGGGCCCCAUGCGGUCCUCGCAUGCUGUCCCCAGCACAACUCCAAUCCCAGUGUCACCCCCGGGGCCGCCUCCACCUCCGCGCCCUCCUAAGCGCCAUCAAAGCCGCCUCCACCGUCGCCAGGCCCCCGCCCCGCUGUCCCCCAGGGCCCCGCGCUGUGCUGCACCCACACCUGCAUGUACACCUUGGCG